CACUCGCAGGCUAGGAGUCGGUAGCAUCUGAGACGUUCGUCUGUCACAGCUCAUUACAGUCAUUAGUGCGCACCAGUUUAAGUUCAAGGACUGCAUUGUGUAAGAAGACUCUUUGUUUUCCUCAGGUGAGGCUAGAAGCUCGGGCGGGCGUGGGCGCGCCGCCUACCGCUCAGUAAGAGUUCGGCACCGCCGCUGCUCGCACGAACCUCUCCGCCGCAAAAGCGCAACGAACGACUUCCAAAAUGGCCACCGGUCCGAAGAUAGUGCACAAGCAAUUCAACUCGCCUAUUGGUCUAUACUCUCAACAAAACAUCCAAGAGACGCUGAACAAACAUUUGCAGAACCUCGACAAUGGCACCGUCGGUAUUAACUUCCAGCAACCCGGUACCGACAAACCGGCUAAUCUGGCAAACUCAGCCGUUCUGCGCAUGCUUGAGGAAGAAGAACGCAACCGCAAAGGUUUACCAAAACUAGACCCCACCCAAAUCCAGGCGAUUUUGGAGAACCUUGUCCGCACGCAGCGAAGAUUUGACCAACUGUGGCCGCCGAAAAAGACGAAACCGACUCGUAAUUGGGAUGGCCAAAUCAACUCCACUUCGUAUAUUUAUUCCGAUCUCAUGAAGGCUACUAAAGGCCAAAAGAAAGUAGUGUGGCCUCCAACGCCUGAGACCAACGGAUAUCAUCAACCACCACAGCAGAGUCCUGCAUACAACAACAACGCCCAGUUCUCUUCGUCCCAGUCUCCGUACUCCCCACAGCCGCAAUACUCCCCGCAACCUCAGCAACACUCCCCGCAACCUCACUACCAAGCUACUCCAUCCCAGAACCAAUACCCUCAAUAUAACCAAGGAACGCAGUCGCAGCCUUCUCACUGCGAAGGGAAACGCCAGGAAGUCACAGGGCUAAGUAAGCUGAUCCCUGUAGGGCCGGGUGUCACCGCCUCCCCAGUUGCCCCAUCUUACCGCCAGGGCCCGUUGUCGCCUAGUGCGCAGCCCUACCGACCACAACAAAGUCGUUGGGCGCCCGUACCAGCCCCCAUCUCCCCUCAGCCGACGUCGACGACCCCACAAUUCAACCAGCAGCCCCAAUACUUGCCACAGGGCCAAUACUCGCCACAGCCGCAGUACUCGGAGCCCGCGUACCAGCCGCCACAGAGGCAGUUCGAGCCCCCGCCGUCGACGAUCACCCUCCGUCGACAGCAACCCGUACACCAGCAACCAUCGCCGGUCUUUGCUAGUCAACCGGCCACAGCAUCGCUCAAAGGAGGCGUAAACAUGCGUGGUGAUCAGAAAUGGCCGCCGCAGACCGUGAAGGAGGCAGUGGCUGCAGAGAACGAAGCAAGGAGACAGCUAGCGAAAGGGCCCGCCUGCAGGCCCCGUAAGCUGCGACAGUAUUCGCUUGCCGAAUUACUUGCCAUGAACGAGGUCUAAGGGCCCGUCGCGUUCCGACCCAAACCCAAGUCGGUACAUGCCGGACUUUAAUACCCCUUUAGUGAAAAAGGACUACACCGGUUUCUUCUCGCAGCACGCCCUCAACCACUGUUACACAAGCUACCGUGUUCCGCCGGGCACACAGCACUUUGAAUACCAAUCGGGCCGAUCCUCGUACUAAAAGUAGUUAAGAAAUGUCUCAAAUACCUAGUCGGUAAUCUCAUUGACACCAAGUGUAAAUUCCCAUUCUCCAUCUAAAAAUAUACUUACUUUUUUUUAGUCGAACGUAUAAAAUCCGAAUUUUCAUAAUGAAACCAUACUAAAUACCUACUGUUUCCUAAACUGUUGUAAAAUUCGGAUUUUGCAAUCAAUAGUCACUUGUACAACUCGAUACUCAUCUGUAACACCAUUUUAACCAAUAUUUACUCAAUGGUUGUCCCGAAUUGGACUUCAAAUAGAAGUACUUGUAAAGACUUUGGCUUAUUAAAGUCUUUGUGCAUGUACUUGAUUGGAUAAUCACAAUCAGUACAUUUAGGUAUUAUUUAUUUUACAUUUAUCAUUAUUAUAUUAUGCCUAGCUUGUAAGUAUAAAAUUAGAAAAAUACUACUAAGUACUUUUUCGCCAAUUAUUAUUAUUUCACGUCGUCAUACUUUAAAGUAUUUACAUUUAAAAUUAAUAUUAUAUUCAAUUCAUUAUUACGAAAAAUAUUAAUGCGACGAUGCUUUACGCUUUUUUAACAAAGUUAUACUCUUCCACAAACCAGGGCCGGCCCAGAUCAGUUUUGGCGGUGCAAGAUUCCAUUUUAGCACCCCCAAUAUGCAAUUUUUCUUUCAUUUUCUUAGCUUUUUUUAACGAAAGAUUUUUCUCAUACAAUUACCUAACAAACUCAUCAACUUAUACGAGCGCGAGCGAAGCGAGUGCAAUUUUUUAUUUUUUAUAAAAAGGCACAGAAAAAAUAAUAUUAAAAUAAAGCGAGUUAAAAACUUACAAUGGAGGUACAAAUUAUAUUCUUUUUUAUUUUAUUUUUAUAAUUUGCCCAAGGAGAGAUAAUAUAAUAUUGCACAUGAUUUUGCACAUUUGAGUCCGUUUCGGCGCCCACCUUCCAAGGACGCACGGUGCAGUCGCACCGCUCGCACCACCCCUGGGCCCGCCCUGACACAUAGGCACGAAAUCCCGGCCGAAAUUUCGUGCAUGUGUGGGAAAUUCGAUUUUAGUUUACAUACAUGAUACAACGUAAAAUGUGAAGUGUAAUUUUAUUGGCUAAGCUUAAUUUGUAUGUACCUAGUCACGAUGAAAUCGCUCGAAUUGUUUUGUAUAUAAAAAGUUCAAUCAAAUAAUUUUGUACUUCAAAAUGUCAUUUAUAUUUUAUUUAAAUAAAAAUUUUGAAAGUCA